rnacentral:misc_RNA from 1 species
UGCAAACUUGAAUGGCCGAAAUAAUGUAUAUUAAAGUAAUUUGCUUAGACAAGCAGAUGUCAAUGAGAAGAUGAAAGUCUUAAGAUUAUGUCGGUAAAAUUUAAAAAGGAUUCAACAACGUAGGAGUUACGAUACAUUUAUUAGAAACACGCAUUCUCAUAAAUUUUCAAUCGGAUUUACGUCUGGACUUUGCGGUGGAGUAAUUAACAUGUGUGGUGUGUUAUAUACGAUCCAUUCUUUCACAAUUCUAGCAGUAUGCUUAGGAUCAUUAUCAUGUUGGAAGUGGAAAUCGUUCUAAUUUACGGGCACUUUCUUUAAGGUUAUUUUGUAAAAUAUUUAAAUACUUAUAUUUAUCAGGUAUACCAUCAAUAAAUAUCAAAUUUCCGGUGCCACUGGCAGCCAUGCACCCCCACACCAUAACCGAUCCACCUCCGUAUUUCACUGUUUGAUGUAAAUGUCGAAUUUCCAAUUCCGUAUUUGGUUUUCUCCACAUAUAAUUUUGACCAUCUGAGCCAAAAAUGUUAAACUUUGACACGUCCGAAAAGAUGACUUUGUCCCAAAAAGAAUUAUCUUUAUUAAUAUAGGUUUUUGCAAA